rnacentral:rRNA from 1 species
GAUGAACGCUGGCGGCGUGCCUAAUACAUGCAAGUCGAGCGAACAGACGAGGAGCUUGCUCCUUUGACGUUAGCGGCGGACGGGUGAGUAACACGUGGAUAACCUACCUAUAAGACUGGGAUAACUUCGGGAAACCGGAGCUAAUACCGGAUAACAUGUUGAACCGCAUGGUUCAACAGUGGAAGACGGUCUUGCUGUCACUUAUAGAUGGAUCCGCGCCGCAUUAGCUAGUUGGUAAGGUAACGGCUUACCAAGGCAACGAUGCGUAGCCGACCUGAGAGGGUGAUCGGCCACACUGGAACUGAGACACGGUCCAGACUCCUACGGGAGGCAGCAGUAGGGAAGCUUCCGCAAUGGGCGAAAGCCUGACGGAGCAACGCCGCGUGAGUGAAGAAGGUCUUCGGAUCGUAAAACUCUGUUAUUAGGGAAGAACAAAUGUGUAAGUAACUAUGCACGUCUUGACGGUACCUAAUCAGAAAGCCACGGCUAACUACGUG